rnacentral:rRNA from 1 species
UUUGACCUCAAAUCAGGUAGGAUUACCCGCUGAACUUAAGCAUAUCAAUAAGCGGAGGAAAAGAAACUAACGAGGAUUCCCUUAGUAACGGCGAGUGAAGAGGGAUGAGCUCAAAUUUGAAAUCUGGCGGCCUACGGUCGUCCGAGUUGUAAUCUAGAGAAGUGUUUUCCGCGCUGGACCGUGUACAAGUCCUUUGGAACAAGGCGUCAUAGAGGGUGAGAAUCCCGUCUACGACACGGACUACCAGUGCUUUGUGAUACACUCUCGACGAGUCGAGUUGUUUGGGAAUGCAGCUCAAAAUGGGUGGUAAAUUCCAUCUAAAGCUAAAUACAGGCGAAAGACCGAUAGCGAACAAGUACCGUGAGGGAAAGAUGAAAAGCACUUUGGAAAGAGAGUUAAACAGUACGUGAAAUUGUUAAAAGGGAAACGCUUGAAGUCAGUCGCGUCUUCAGAAACUCAGCCUGGCUUCUGCCUGGUGUACUUUUCUGUUGGACGGGCCAGCAUCAGUUUUGGCGGUCAGAAAAAGGUCAGAGGAAGGUGGCACCUCCGGGUGUGUUAUAGCCUCUGAUCGUAUGUGACGGCUGGGACUGAGGACUGCAGCACGCCUUUAUUGGCCGGGGUUCGCCCACGUAACGUGCUUAGGAUGCUGGCGUAAUGGCUUUAAACGACCCGUCUUGAAACACGGACCAAGGAGUCUAACAUGCCUGCGAGUAUUUGGGUGGUAAACUCAUAUGCGGAAUGAAAGUGAACAGUUGGGACUCCUGUCAUGGGAGGCACCGACGCCCGGACCAGAUCUAUUGUGACGGAUCCGAGGUAGAGCAUGUAUGUUGGGACCCGAAAGAUGGUGAACUAUGCCUGAGUAGGGUGAAGCCAGAGGAAACUCUGGUGGAGGCUCGUAGCGAUUCUGACGUGCAAAUCGAUCGUCGAACUUGGGUAUAGGGGCGAAAGACUAAUCGAAC